AGUUGCUAGUAAUCGCAGAUCAGAAUGCUGCGGUGAAUGCGUUCCCGGGUCUUGUACACACCGCCCGUCACACCAUGGAAGUUGGGGGUGCCCAAAGUCGGUUAGAAAAUAAACUGCCUAAGGCAAAACCAAUGACUGGGGUGAAGUCGUAACAAGGUAGC
rnacentral:rRNA from 1 species